rnacentral:rRNA from 1 species
AGAGUUAAACAGUACGUGAAAUUGUUGAAAGGGAAACGUUUGAAACCAGUCAUGCUGGCAGCAAAUCAGCCGUCCUUACUGGAUGACCGUAGCGCGUAGAGUGUUAAAGCCUACAGUUUCGGUUUAGGAAGGUCAAGGAUUGGUGUACUUUUCUGUUUGGCAGGUCAACAUCAGUUUCGAUCGCCGGACAAAAGUAAGUUGAAGGUGACUCCUUAGGGAGUGUUAUAGCUUCUUACCGAUACGGUGGUUGGGACUGAGGACUGCAGCUUGCGCUCUCUGGGCAAGGGUGCGCCGUUUGCUGUGGGAAACUAAAAUGUAAACUGCUUGCAGAUUACAUUUUGUGCUUUUCCUACAAUCAAUCGGAUUGUCACUACAUCCAAGCUUAGGAUGUUGACUUAAUGGUUUUAAAUGACC